rnacentral:rRNA from 1 species
AGAGUUUGAUCAUGGCUCAGAUUGAACGCUGGCGGCAGGCCUAACACAUGCAAGUCGAGCGGUAGCACAGAGAGCUUGCUCUCGGGUGACGAGCGGCGGACGGGUGAGUAAUGUCUGGGAAACUGCCUGAUGGAGGGGGAUAACUACUGGAAACGGUAGCUAAUACCGCAUAAUGUCGCAAGACCAAAGUGGGGGACCUUCGGGCCUCAUGCCAUCAGAUGUGCCCAGAUGGGAUUAGCUAGUAGGUGGGGUAACGGCUCACCUAGGCGACGAUCCCUAGCUGGUCUGAGAGGAUGACCAGCCACACUGGAACUGAGACACGGUCCAGACUCCUACGGGAGGCAGCAGUGGGGAAUAUUGCACAAUGGGCGCAAGCCUGAUGCAGCCAUGCCGCGUGUGUGAAGAAGGCCUUCGGGUUGUAAAGCACUUUCAGCGGGGAGGAAGGCGUUAAGGUUAAUAACCUUGGCGAUUGACGUUACCCGCAGAAGAAGCACCGGCUAACUCCGUGCCAGCAGCCGCGGUAAUACGGAGGGUGCAAGCGUUAAUCGGAAUUACUGGGCGUAAAGCGCACGCAGGCGGUCUGUCAAGUCGGAUGUGAAAUCCCCGGGCUCAACCUGGGAACUGCAUUCGAAACUGGCAGGCUAGAGUCUUGUAGAGGGGGGUAGAAUUCCAGGUGUAGCGGUGAAAUGCGUAGAGAUCUGGAGGAAUACCGGUGGCGAAGGCGGCCCCCUGGACAAAGACUGACGCUCAGGUGCGAAAGCGUGGGGAGCAAACAGGAUUAGAUACCCUGGUAGUCCACGCCGUAAACGAUGUCGAUUUGGAGGUUGUGCCCUUGAGGCGUGGCUUCCGGAGCUAACGCGUUAAAUCGACCGCCUGGGGAGUACGGCCGCAAGGUUAAAACUCAAAUGAAUUGACGGGGGCCCGCACAAGCGGUGGAGCAUGUGGUUUAAUUCGAUGCAACGCGAAGAACCUUACCUGGUCUUGACAUCCACAGAACUUUCCAGAGAUGGAUUGGUGCCUUCGGGAACUGUGAGACAGGUGCUGCAUGGCUGUCGUCAGCUCGUGUUGUGAAAUGUUGGGUUAAGUCCCGCAACGAGCGCAACCCUUAUCCUUUGUUGCCAGCGGUNGGCCGGGAACUCAAAGGAGACUGCCAGUGAUAAACUGGAGGAAGGUGGGGAUGACGUCAAGUCAUCAUGGCCCUUACGACCAGGGCUACACACGUGCUACAAUGGCAUAUACAAAGAGAAGCGACCUCGCGAGAGCAAGCGGACCUCAUAAAGUAUGUCGUAGUCCGGAUUGGAGUCUGCAACUCGACUCCAUGAAGUCGGAAUCGCUAGUAAUCGUAGAUCAGAAUGCUACGGUGAAUACGUUCCCGGGCCUUGUACACACCGCCCGUCACACCAUGGGAGUGGGUUGCAAAAGAAGUAGGUAGCUUAACCUUCGGGAGGGCGCUUACCACUUUGUGAUUCAUGACUGGGGUGAAGUCGUAACAAGGUAACCGUAGGGGAACCUGCGGUUGGAUCACCU